GACGAACGCUGGCGGCGUGCUUAACACAUGCAAGUCGAACGGAAAGGCCCUGCUUGCCGGGUACUCGAGUGGCGAACGGGUGAGUAACACGUGGGUGAUCUGCCCUGCACUUCGGGAUAAGCCUGGGAAACUGGGUCUAAUACCGGAUAGGAGCCAUUUUUAGUGUGAUGGUUGGAAAGUUCUUUCGGUGUAGGAUGAGCUCGCGGCCUAUCAGCUUGUUGGUGGGGUAAUGGCCUACCAAGGCGGCGACGGGUAGCCGGCCUGAGAGGGUGGACGGCCACACUGGGACUGAGAUACGGCCCAGACGCCUACGGGAGGAAGCAGUGGGGAAUAUUGCACAAUGGGCGCAAGCCUGAUGCAGCGACGCCGCGUGGGGGAUGACGGCCUUCGGGUUGUAAACUCCUUCCGCUAGGGACGAAGCUUUUUGUGACGGUACCUAGAUAAGAAGCACCGGCUAACUACGUG
rnacentral:rRNA from 1 species